GUUGUCGGAUUCGCAUCAAUCCACAUGUAUUGAGGUAGGUUGGAGUAGAACUUAAACUAAAUUUCACCUCAAUCCACUCCAACACAUGUGAAUUGAGGUGAACUCGACA
rfam:Sorghum bicolor cultivar BTx623 chromosome 4, whole genome shotgun sequence.